GCGAAGGUAGCGCAAUCACUUGUCUUUUAAAUGAAGACCUGUAUGAAUGGCACGACGAGGGCUUAACUGUCUCCUUUUUCCAGUCAAUGAAAUUGAUCUUCCCGUGCAGAAGCGGGAAUAAUACCAUAAGACGAGAAGACCCUGUGGAGCUUUAGACACUGAAUCAGCCCUUGUCCAAAAUCCCAAUUAAGGGUAUGAACACUAGAGUGAGACCUGAUUUAAUGUCUUCGGUUGGGGCGACCUUGGGGAAAGAAAAAUCCCCCAUGCGGAACGGAAAUACUAUGCUUCCAAAACUAAGAGCAACCACUCAAAGUAUCAAAAAUUUUGACCAACUAUAUGAUCCGGCUUAACGCCGAUCAACGGACCAAGUUACCCCA
rnacentral:rRNA from 1 species